rnacentral:lncRNA from 1 species
UAGUGUUUUGCGAAUGAAUGAGGGUCCGCAAUUAUCUGUUACGAAUUUUUUUUUUUGUUCAAAUUUGUUUUUUUUUUUUUUUUUUUUUUUUUUUUUUUUUUUUUUUUUUUUUUUUUUUUUUUUUUUAAAUUUUUUUUUUUUUUUUUUUUUUUUUUUUGAAGAUUAAAUUGUUCAAAUUUGUUACGAAUUCAUUAUUGGAUAAGCAUAUGUUGUAACACUUAGUAGUUUGGUGCAAGUCUUUUUGCCAAAGUCUAAAUGUCAUUUC